CAACUCCCAACCCCUGUGACAUACCUUAAUGUUGCCUCGGCGGAUCAGCCCGCGCCCGGUAAAACGGGACGGCCCGCCAGAGGAUCCAAACUCUUGCUGUUAUUGUAACUUCUGAGUAAAACAAACAAAUAAAUCAAAACUUUCAACAACGGAUCUCUUGGUUCUGGCAUCGAUGAAGAACGCAGCAAAAUGCGAUAAGUAAUGUGAAUUGCAGAAUUCAGUGAAUCAUCGAAUCUUUGAACGCACAUUGCGCCCGCCAGUAUUCUGGCGGGCAUGCCUGUUCGAGCGUCAUUUCAACCCUCAAGCCCCCGGGUUUGGUGUUGGGGAUCGGCAAGCCUUCUGGCGAGCCGCCCCCUAAAUCUAGUGGCGGUCUCACUGCAGCCUCCAUUGCGUAGUAGCUAACACCUCGCAACUGGAACGCGGUGCGGCCAUGCCGUUAAACCCCCAACUUCUGAAUGUUGACCUCGGAUCAGGUAGGAAUACCCGCUGAACUUAAGCAUAUCAAUAAGCGGAGGAA
rnacentral:rRNA from 1 species